GGCAGUGGGGGCAAGAGUGUUUUGUUGGAAGUCUGUGCUUACCUGAGGUCUUCUAUAGGCUCCCUGUGGAAUGAGGAAGGCUCUUACUAUUACUGAGAUAUCUGCUUGAAGGUAUUGGAGUCAAAACUGCAAAGGGGUUAAUUUAUUUUCUAGGUCAAAUAUUAAAUUUUAUUUCAUCAAAGGAAACAGAAAGGAAACAUAUCCUGCUUUAUCAUCAGAUCAUCUUUCAAGAGGUCAUUGGUUGCAGCAAUUCCUUACACAGGAGUUGUAAGGAAAGAGGCAGAAGGUGGACAGUUACACAAGGGUCCAUGAGGUAACCAUGAGACGAGAUGCAGGCAAAACAGUGUCAAAUGGGAAGAGAGAUUUCUUAAGGAUAACUUAAAAAAAUCAGCCACCUGUCAAUCUAAAAAGUGGUUUCAUCGGUACAGAAAUUCCUAAUGAGGGGACCUCCCAGGAUCAGAAUGCCAGCAUGUCUGAGGCAGAGAAGCCACCCUUUGACACUGGAAACUCAGUGGUCCUAACCCUAAAGCUCUGCAAGAAAUUGAGUUGGAUCCUCAGGAGCAGAUGGGCUAAACAGAUCCAUGUUGUCAGCUUCCUUAGCCAAUUGCAUCUGCCAAAAAUCUCAUGUUUAAUUUGCACACACACAGUAUAUUUCCAAACUAAAAAAAUAAAAAGAACUGAAAAUCGUAUGCAGAAAAACAGCUGUACUCAUUUGUGCUGUUAACCAGCUGAGUCAGCCCCUGAAUCGAGCCCUAAUUAAUUUGUGCACACGGUGUAGCCAACAAAGAGUGACAACAGACAGAAGAAUGGACUGUGUUGAGGGGGCUUAGUCUCUAACAGAAAAGAUGCCUGAGAAAGGGAGCUUGAUGACAGCUAAUUGCUGCCCAAAGGACCAAAAUAAUGGGCAGCCUGGGAGAGACAGAAAAAAGAAGGGGUUGGUGGAAGUAGUCAUCAGGUGUUUGCAGUGAUUAAGUUCAUUGUCCGCACUGUUUACUUUGGUGUUCAGCAUUAAUGUCCAUUUGGAACUGGCACAGUAAGGAGCCUUGUUAAAAUAAUAAGAUCUUAGUGUGCGAUGUAUUGAUGGAGUCAGAACUCCA